UAAAAGUAGGAGAGAGUUUAUAACUCCUGGC
rnacentral:piRNA from 1 species